UAUUUUUGUGGAAAUUGAGAUACAUUGAGUGUCAAUUUUAGAUCUCACAUUCAUUGUCUUUAUUUGCAGAUUGUACUUUUAAUCCCUGAACAUCUGUUAUGGCAGUGUUUAAGUCAUAAAUAAUGACUUGUAUGUCUGUUUGUAUGUAAGGUCACUUUGCAAAGGAUUGCUUCUCCCAGCCUGGACUGCAGUACAGUUUAGUGCCAGAAGAAGAGGAGGAGCCGCCGCCGCCGGCCAGUCAGCAAACCCAGUCAGAGCCCCAGAAACGUAAAAAGGAAAAGAAGGCAAAGAAAGAAAAGAAGAAAAAGAAAGAGAAGAAAAGAGACAACUCUUCAUCUGAUAGCUGCGAUGAAGACACCAAACGGCCAAGGCAUUCACACACACA